GACGAACGCUGGCGGCGUGCCUAAAACAUGCAAGUCGAACGGUGUAGCAAUACACAGUGGCGAACGGCGGAGUAAUACAUAAGCAACGUGCCCUGAAGACUGGGAUAGUCAGAGGAAACUCUGGGUAAUACCAGAUGUGGUCCCUUUCCGGCAUCGGAGAGUGAUUAAAUGGUUUUUCGCUUCUGGAGCGGCUUAUGGCCUAUCAGGUAGUUGGUGAGGUAACGGCUCACCAAGCCGACGACGGGUAGCGGGUCUGAGGAGGAUGAUCCGCUCGAGGUGGGACUGAGACACGGCCCACACACCUACGGGUGGCAGCAGUUGGGAAUCUUGCACAAGUGGGGGAAACCCUGAUGCAGCGACGCCGCGUGGA
rnacentral:rRNA from 1 species